rnacentral:rRNA from 1 species
CAGCAGCCGCGGGAAUACGAAGGGGGCUAGCGUUGUUCGGAUUUACUGGGCGUAAAGCGCACGUAGGCGGAUCGAUCAGUCAGGGGUGAAAUCCCAGAGCUCAACUCUGGAACUGCCUUUGAUACUGUCGAUCUGGAGUAUGGAAGAGGUGAGUGGAAUUCCGAGUGUAGAGGUGAAAUUCGUAGAUAUGGGGAGGAACACCGGUGGCGAAGGCGGCCAUCUGGGACAACACUGACGCUGAGGCACGAAAGCGUGGGGAGCAAACAGGAUUAGAGACCCCGGUAGUCCCUGUCUCUUAUAC